GUUUGAUCCUGGCUCAGAACGAACGCUGGCGGCGUGCCUAACACAUGCAAGUCCAACGUGAAAGGGGAGCAAUCCCCCGGUAGGGUGGCAAACGGGUGAGUAAUACAUGGGUGAUCUACCUUAGGGAUGGGGAUAUCCUUCCGAAAGGAGGGGCAAUACCGAAUAUUGUCCGGAGCCGUGAAGGGUUCCGGGGAAAGGGAGGCCUCUGAUACAAGCUUUCGCCUUAAGAUGAGCCCAUGGCCCAUCAGCUAGUUGGUAGGGUAAAGGCCUACCAAGGCUACGACGGGUCGCUGGUCUGAGAGGACGACCAGCCACACUGGCACUGAGAUACGGGCCAGACUCCUACGGGAGGCAGCAGUGAGGAAUAUUGCGCAAUGGGGGAAACCCUGACGCAGCAACGCCGCGUGUGGGAAGAGGCCUUCGGGUCGU
rnacentral:rRNA from 1 species